AUGCUAUUCCCUUUCUUACUUAAACUCCCCUUUUUUUUUAAAAAGAAGGCUCGUCAAGGCCGUGCUUCCUCUCAAACUGAAACUAGCCACAUCAGUGAUGGUGGCACAGAUAUCGACAAAAGCGCAGGCGACGAUGGUGAGGGCGUCAUUUGGGAAGAAUCGCAUGAGGUUUAUAAUGAUGACGCACUGAAGUUACUUGAUGUUGACAAAGAUAUUGAGGAUGAUGAUAUUGAGCCUUACAUUACUGAAGCCGCUAACUUAUUGGGCUUUGAGCGCACACAUAGGUUGAAGAUCCAAGCCGUGCCCCUUGACAAAUGCAAAGUCCCCACACCUCCUCAACAGUUAACGAACAAAGUCCUCCGUUUUGAAGGAUUUCAGUAUAAAAAUGAACUUGUUACAGCAGAUCAGGACACAACUUUUGUUGUUUUAGAGCCAAUUUCAAAAGAGGCGCCAUCAAUCAUUAUUAACACCCUGGCACAGGAGUUCAUACGCAAUCCUGCGAAGCAGUGGCAUAACGAUUCUUCCCUUCAACUUUGUACUGCAAUCCCCUAUAACCAUAAAUUGUUGCUUUGGGCUCGGAUGAUGCUCAUAUCAGAGGAAGACAAGGAAAUGUUGCUCAAGGCUGAUAUCUUCCGUGGUGUAUUGGCAUCUCUUUAUCAUGUUCCGAUCAAUCCUUCACUACUUGCUGCCUUUCUUACAUUUUGGAACACUGACGGACAUACCUUGAUUACUUCUCAAGGGGAGAUGGGCUAUCCCCUUAUAGCUAUGUAUGAUGCUAUGGGCAUUCCAAUUUCUGGGCACCUUUAUGAGGAAUAUUUCCCAUUGCCGUCUGAAGUUUCAGAGAUUGUAAAAGUCCUUCACUCAGCCUAUGCUGAUAUCUGGGUGUUGCAUCAGAAUGGAAGCUCUUGUAAAGUCACUCUUCAAAAUUGGUUGGAUUAUUUUAUAGGUAUGAAAAUAAUAUAUAUAUUUUUACAUAUACUUCUAUUCAACCAUAAUCCUGAAGAUCCCUUGCUCUCUCAUCUAGAGUUUCGUACGUUGUCUUUGCAGAAACGCUGGUCGGCUAGAUUUGGCAACCAUGUAAUUUUUUACAAGCAGACAUAUGAACGAGAAAUAUACCGUGCCGCCUUCAUCGCAGCUUGGCUAUGCACAUACUGUGUUCCUAUCAAUAUGGGGUCCUUUAUUCGGCCGGAGGUCUUCUGUGCUGCAGCUAGACUUGCUCAAGGGAUCCGUCUUGCGAUUGGUACGGCAAGCAUGGCCUAUCUUUACCAAAGUCUUGAUAAUGUUUGUCAAGAGAUUAUAGCCGGAUCAAAGUCAGCAAGUGAGUGCCAACUGCCAUUACCUGCACAUUUUAUUAUG
rnacentral:rRNA from 1 species